rnacentral:rRNA from 1 species
CGGUGGAGCAUUGUUGGUUUAAUUCGAAGCAACGCGCAGAACCUUACCAACCUUGACAUGGGGUCGCGGGACCAGAGAUUGGUCCUUCAGUUCGGCUGGACCCCACACAGGUGCUGCAUGGCUGUCGUCAGCUCGUGUCGUGAGAUGUUCGGUUAAGUCCGGCAACGAGCGCAACCCACACUUUCAGUUGCCAUCAUUCAGUUGGGCACUCUGGAAGAACUGCCGGUGAUAAGCCGGAGGAAGGUGUGGAUGACGUCAAGUCCUCAUGGCCCUUACGGGUUGGGCUACACACGUGCUACAAUGGUGGUGACAAUGGGUUAAUCCCAAAAAGCCAUCUCAGUUCGGAUUGUCGUCUGCAACUCGGCGGCAUGAAGUCGGAAUCGCUAGUAAUCGCGUAACAGCAUGACGCGGUGAAUACGUUCCCGGGCCUU